rnacentral:rRNA from 1 species
AGCGAACGCUGGCGGCAGGCUUAACACAUGCAAGUCGAGCGGGCGUAGCAAUACGUCAGCGGCAGACGGGUGAGUAACGCGUGGGAACAUACCUUUUGGUCGGAACAACACAGGGAAACUUGUGCUAAUACCGGAUAAGCCCUUACGGGGAAAGAUUUAUCGCCGAAAGAUUGGCCCGCGUCUGAUUAGCUAGUUGGUGAGGUAACGGCUCACCAAGGCGACGAUCAGUAGCNGGUCUGAGAGGAUGAUCAGCCACAUUGGGACUGAGACACGGCCCAAACUCCUACGGGAGGCAGCAGUGGGGAAUAUUGGACAAUGGGCGAAAGCCUGAUCCAGCCAUGCCGCGUGAGUGAAGAAGGCCUGCGGGUUGUAAAGCACUUUAGGUGGGGAGAAAAGGCUGUAUGUU